rnacentral:rRNA from 1 species
AGUGAACGCUGGCGGUAGGCCUAACACAUGCAAGUCGAACGGCAGCACAGUAAGAGCUUGCUAUUACGGGUGGAGAGUGGCGGACGGGUGAGGAAUACAUCGGAAUCUACUUUUUCGUGGGGGGUAAGGUAGGGAAACUUACGCUAAUACCGCAUACGACCUACGGGUGAAAGCAGGGGAUCUUCGGGCCUUGCGCGAUUGAAUGAGCCGAUGUCGGAUUAGCUAGUUGGCGGGGUAAAGGCCCACCAAGGCGACGAUCCGUAGCUGGUCUGAGAGGAUGAUCAGCCACACUGGAACUGAGGCACGGGCCAGACUCCUACGGGAGGCAGCAGUGGGGAAUAUUGGACAAUGGGCGCAAGCCUGAUCCAGCCAUACCGCGUGGGUGAAGAAGGCCUUCGGGUUGUAAAGCCCUUUUGUUGGGAAAGAAAAGCAGCAGGUUAAUACCCCGCUGUUCUGACGGUACCCAAAGAAUAAGCACCGGCUAACUUCGUG